rnacentral:rRNA from 1 species
AAAGAAGCAGAGGGGGCUUAGUGGUGGGGUGACUGCGUACCUUUUGUAUAAUGGGUCAGCGACUUAUAUUCUGUAGCAAGGUUAACCGUAUAGGGGAGCCGGAGGGAAACCGAGUCUUAAUUGGGCGUUAAGUUGCAGGGUAUAGACCCGAAACCCGGUGAUCUAGCCAUGGGCAGGUUGAAGGUUGGGUAACACUAACUGGAGGACCGAACCGACUAAUGUUGAAAAAUUAGCGGAUGACCUGUGGCUGGGGGUGAAAGGCCAAUCAAACCGGGAGAUAGCUGGUUCUCCCCGAAAGCUAUUUAGGUAGCGCCUCGUGAAUUCAUCUUCGGGGGUAGAGCACUGUUUCGGCUAGGGGGUCAUCCCGACUUACCAACCCGAUGCAAACUGCGAAUACCGGAGAAUGUUAUCACGGGAGACACACGGCGGGUGCUAACGUCCGUCGUGAAGAGGGAAACAACCCAGACCGCCAGCUAAGGUCCCAAAGUCAUGGUUAAGUGGGAAACGAUGUGGGAAGGCCCAGACAGCCAGGAUGUUGGCUUAGAAGCAGCCAUCAUUUAAAGAAAGCGUAAUAGCUCACUGGUCGAGUCGGCCUGCGCGGAAGAUGUAACGGGGCUAAACCAUGCACCGAAGCUGCGGCAGCGAACGUAUCACUUAAAGCGAUUCAGCGGGUUACGAUUGACGGAGCGAAGCGACGUCAAAGCGUAUACAAAGUCGAGUCGGUUUAAGGAUACGUUCGUUGGGUAGGGGAGCGUUCUGUAAGCCUGCGAAGGUGGCCUGUGAGGGUUGCUGGAGGUAUCAGAAGUGCGAAUGCUGACAUAAGUAACGAUAAAGCGGGUGAAAAGCCCGCUCGCCGGAAGACCAAGGGUUCCUGUCCAACGUUAAUCGGGGCAGGGUGAGUCGACCCCUAAGGCGAGGCCGAAAGGCGUAGUCGAUGGGAAACGGGUUAAUAUUCCCGUACUUGGUGUUACUGCGAAGGGGGGACGGAGAAGGCUAUGUUGGCCGGGCGACGGUUGUCCCGGUUUAAGCGUGUAGGUGUGUGUUCCAGGUAAAUCCGGUUCACUUUAACACUGAGGCGUGAUGACGAGGCACUACGGUGCUGAAGCAACAAAUGCCCUGCUUCCAGGAAAAGCCUCUAAGCAUCAGGUAACAUCAAAUCGUACCCCAAACCGACACAGGUGGUCAGGUAGAGAAUACCAAGGCGCUUGAGAGAACUCGGGUGAAGGAACUAGGCAAAAUGGUGCCGUAACUUCGGGAGAAGGCACGCUGACACGUAGGUGAAGUGAUUUACUCACGGAGCUGAAGUCAGUCGAAGAUACCAGCUGGCUGCAACUGUUUAUUAAAAACACAGCACUGUGCAAACACGAAAGUGGACGUAUACGGUGUGACGCCUGCCCGGUGCCGGAAGGUUAAUUGAUGGGGUCAGCGCAAGCGAAGCUCCUGAUCGAAGCCCCGGUAAACGGCGGCCGUAACUAUAACGGUCCUAAGGUAGCGAAAUUCCUUGUCGGGUAAGUUCCGACCUGCACGAAUGGCGUAAUGAUGGCCAGGCUGUCUCCACCCGAGACUCAGUGAAAUUGAACUCGCUGUGAAGAUGCAGUGUACCCGCGGCAAGACGGAAAGACCCCGUGAACCUUUACUAUAGCUUGACACUGAACAUUGAGCCUUGAUGUGUAGGAUAGGUGGGAGGCUUUGAAGUGUGGACGCCAGUCUGCAUGGAGCCGACCUUGAAAUACCACCCUUUAAUGUUUGAUGUUCUAACGUGGACCCGU